AAUCCAAGAAUUUCACCUCCAACACCGCAAUACGAAUGCCCCCGUCUGUCCCUCUUAAUCAUUACCUCAAGUUCCGAAAACCAACAAAAUAGAACCGAGGUCCUAUUCCAUUAUUCCAUGCACCAUUAUUCGGGCGGAACGCGCCUGCUUGGAACACUCUAAUUUUUUCAAAGUAAACGUCCUGGCCGCCGCCGGCGGACAGUGAAGGCCACCGACGGGCGUCCAGAGGGUGAGAGACCGGGAAAGACGCCUGCCGAUCCGCAUCCCCGUGAAGGGACCGACCCAAUCAGACGCCGUCGAGCAGUAAACCGCCGCUAGGCGGACCGCUCGCCCGGAUCCGAGAUCCAACUACGAGCUUUUUAACUGCAACAACUUUAAUAUACGCUAUUGGAGCUGGAAU
rnacentral:misc_RNA from 1 species